AUUGAACGCUGGCGGCAUGCUUUACACAUGCAAGUCGAACGGUAACAGGCCUUCGGGUGCUGACGAGUGGCGAACGGGUGCGUAAUGCAUCGGAACGUGCCCAGAGGUUGGGGAUAACGCAUCGAAAGCUGUGCUAAUACCUCAUGUGAUCUGAGGAUGAAAGCGGGGGACCAGGCAGCAAUGUUUGGCCUCGCGCCUUUGUAGCGGCCGAUGUCAGAUUAGGUAGUUGGUGGGGUAAAGGCCUACCAAGCCGACGAUCUGUAGCUGGUCUGAGAGGACGACCGGCCACACUGGGACUGAGACACGGCCCAGACUCCUACGGGAGGCAGCAGUGGGGAAUUUUGGACAAUGGGCGCAAGCCUGAUCCAGCAAUGCCGCGUGCGGGAAGAAGGCCUUCGGGUUGUAAACCGCUUUUGUACGGAAAGAAAAGGCUCUGGCUAAUACCUGGGGCUGAUGACGGUACCGUAAGAAUAAGCACCGGCUAACUACGUG
rnacentral:rRNA from 1 species